GACGAACGCUGGCGGCGUGCUUAACACAUGCAAGUCGAACGGGCCUUGUCCCCUUUUUUUUGGGGGUGGGGUUAGUGGCGAACGGGUGAGUAACACGUGAGUAACCUGCCCCUCACUUCUGGAUAACCGCUUGAAAGGGUGGCUAAUACGGGGUGUUCUGGCCUGCUCGCAUGGGUGGGUUUGGAAAGAUUCGACCGGUUUUGGUUGUUUUGGUGGGGGAUGGGCUCGUGGCCUAUCAGCUUGUUGGUGGGGUGAUGGCCUGCCAAGGCUUUGACGGGUAGCCGGCCUGAGAGGGUGGGCGGUCACACUGGGACUGAGACACGGCCCAGACUCCUACGGGAGGCAGCAGUGGGGAAUAUUGCACAAUGGGCGCAAGCCUGAUGCAGCGACGCCGCGUGAGGGAUGGAGGCCUUCGGGUUGUGAACCUCUUUCGCCAGUGAAGAAGGUCCUGCUCUUUGUGGUGGGGUUGACGGUAGCUGGGUUAAUGAAGCGCCGGCUAACUACGUG
rnacentral:rRNA from 1 species